rnacentral:rRNA from 1 species
UUCCGGUUGAUCCUGCCGGACCUGACUGCUAUCGGAUUGAUACUAAGCCAUGCGAGUCUUUGUAGUAAUACAAGGCAUACGGCUCAGUAACGCGUAGUCAACCUACCCUAUGGACAAGAAUAAUCUCGGGAAACUGAGCAUAAUUCUUGAUAGAUCAUAAUGCCUGGAAUGGUUUAUGGUUAAAAUGAUUCGUCGCCAUAGGAUGGGACUGCGGCCUAUCAGCUUGUUGGUGAGGUAAUGGCCCACCAAGGCGAUUACAGGUACGGGCUCUGAGAGGAGAAGCCCGGAGAUGGGUACUGAGACAAGGACCCAGGCCCUAUGGGGCGCAGCAGGCGAGAAAACUUUGCAAUGUGCGAAAGCACGACAAGGUUAGUCCGAGUGAUUUCUGCUAAAGAGAUCUUUUGCUAGUUAUAAAACCACUAGUGAAUAAGGGGUGGGCAAGUUCUGGUGUCAGCCGCCGCGGUAAAACCAGCACCUCAAGUGGUCAGGAUGAUUAUUGGGCCUAAAGCAUCCGUAGCCGGCUCUGUAAGUUUUCGGUUAAAUCUAUGCGCUCAACGUAUGGGCUGCCGAAAAUACUGUAGAGAUAGGGAGUGGGAGAGGUAGACGGUACUCGGUAGGAAGGGGUAAAAUCCUUUGAUCUAUCGAUGACCACCUGUGGCGAAGGCGGUCUACCAGAACACGUUCGACGGUGAGGGAUGAAAGCUGGGGGAGCAAACCGGAUUAGAUACCCGGGUAGUCCCAGCUGUAAACGAUGCAGACUCGAUGAUGCAUUGGCAUAUAGCCAGUGCAGUGUCGCAGGGAAGCCGUUAAGUCUGCCGCCUGGGAAGUACGUACGCAAGUAUGAAACUUAAAGGAAUUGGCGGGGGAGCACCACAAGGGGUGAAGCCUGCGGUUCAAUUGGAUUCAACGCCGG